CGGGCACCAACAUACAUCUUCCAGGGAUGCUUUCACUGUAAAACCCGCAGCAACGCGUCCUUGGAAAAAUCACAGAUCCGUCGGUAAAUCCUGAAGCAAGCGCGCUCACCAUGUCAGACAUCUGAGACUUUCACGCCAGCAGACUGGUGAGGACCUGCGUCCAUUCCACUCUGCUCUCGGAGGCUCCCUCCACAUUACCCAGCUGUGCUCGGCCUCCUGAGUCCAGGUCUCCACGUCGGGGAGGCUGGAGCCUCCUUGCCUCUCCGCCUCCCCAUGGGCCUGCCCCUCUGCUUCCACUGGGGCCUCAGGAUGCUCCUUUCUGCUGCCUGUCCUGUGACCCCUCCCCAACACAGCAAACUUUUCCACAUUUCUUUGUUAAAAUAAUUAAGCAUGAAUAUUAAGAACAUGUUUUUAUGUCAAGUGCGCUGUAAUGACAAUUGAUCAGGGGAGAAAGCUUAGCGCUCCUCUGAAUCCCAAGCUUCACAAAC
ensembl:lncRNA